UUCCCAAAAGCUUAUAAUGAUAUUAACCAAGAGGCUAAGAUGGAAGACAAAUCUACAAAAUUUAAAAAUUAUGUAUGAAUAGGGUACUGUGACCUGUGUAAUAUAGAGCACCAUAUAAGAAAGAGAAGCAGACUUGAGUAGUAUGAAUUCUGAAAUUCCUAAUCCCCUAUCUUAUUUCAGUUUCCCCGUAUUCUAUAAAAUCAAUACCUAUUUUUUUUAGAUUUUUUGAACAUGUCCUUUACCCAAGUUUUAUCACUUAACCGUGAUAAAUUAAUCUUACCUCAUUUAUAUCUGACGUGAGCAAAUUAACAUGGCUUAGUACGUACACUUAUUUUCUCUUUUUACCUUUCACGAUACAUUCUGAAACUGUACUCAAGGGUUUAUCUCGAGCUCAGGUUGUGGCCUAACUGCAGCUCUAAAAAAACACUAACUUUCCAAACAUAUCUAGUAACACUUCUAUUUCUUCACAAUUUUCCUUAAAACCAGCACAUUAGCAUACAAGUUAGUCAACAAAUACCACAUACGGAUGAGAAGGAAGAAACAAGAAAGUAUUCCAUUAUCAUUUGCAGAAAUAUAAGAGCAAGAAAAGGAACAAAAUGUUUAUUUUGUUUAGGUUGUGAUGACCCGUGCCAGCAUGGGCCCAAUAAUGUAAAAACUGAAAUUUUAUUUUUUAUUUACCUUAUUUUUUAUAUAUGAAAUUGCAGAUAAUAAAAAUGAUGCAUGUACACGACCAUCAAAUCAGAUAAAGAUGACAUUUGUAUCUAUUCUAGGAUGUUGCGUGGUUAAAAGUGGCACGUCCUUUACAUUCAUGAGAAACUAUUUAUAUAUAAACAAAAGAUGAUAAAUGUCACUGACAAAUUUAAAAGAUAAUGGCACUUGAUGAAAUGUCACUGACAAAUGUUAGUUAUCUUGUAAUAUAAUAGUACCAGUAUGAUAUUAGCAUAAUAAAUAUUCAUCACUAAAUUUGCACUUAACAAUACAAACACCAACAAUAUUGUUACUUCAAUCAGUAAUCUAAAGAACAAAUAUAUUGACUUAACAACUAAAUAUAGCGAUAUUCACAAUCAUAAUCCAAAUAACAGGAACUUCAAUUUUCAAAGUAAACCUUGUUCUUAGUCAUAUCAAUAUACAAAUUAGAGUAAGAUAAAUUACCUUUUAAUCAAAAAGUACAUCCAAACAUGAUUAGAAAGACCUGAAAUAAAAACAGUAUAUGAACGUUCAUUUGAAAGUAUAUAUAGUAAAAAUGUGUUGCUUGUACAAUGACACCAACAUAAUUAAUAUGAUAUAAUUAUUACAAAGAUAACAAAUAUGAUUGAAACACCUCACGGGAAAAAAUUUAUAUUUCCAUCUUUAGUUUUUUAUCACGAUCCCUUAUGGGAUGAAAUAUCAAUGAUAUUUUUGAUAAUAU
rnacentral:lncRNA from 1 species